rnacentral:rRNA from 1 species
GUGAGACAGUUCGGUCCCUAUCUGCCGUGGGCGCUGGAGAAUUGAGGGGGGCUGCUCCUAGUACGAGAGGACCGGAGUGGACGCAUCACUGGUGUUCGGGUUGUCAUGCCAAUGGCACUGCCCGGUAGCUAAAUGCGGAAGAGAUAAGUGCUGAAAGCAUCUAAGCACGAAACUUGCCCCGAGAUGAGUUCUCCCUGAGACUAUAAGUCUCCUGAAGGAACGUUAAAGACGAUGACGUUGAUAGGCCGGGUGUGUAAGCGCAGCGAUGCGUUGAGCUAACCGGUACUAAUGAACCGUGAGGCUUAACCUUACAACGCCGAAG